GCCUUUGAUACUGGUUAUCUUGAGUUGCAUUGAAGUAGGCGGAAUAUGUAGUGUAGCGGUGAAAUGCAUAGAUAUUACAUAGAACACCAAUUGCGAAGGCAGCUUACUAAGUACUAACUGACGCUGAUGGACGAAAGCGUGGGUAGCGAACAGGAUUAGAUACCCUGGUAGUCCACGCCGUAAACGAUGGAUACUAGCUGUUCGGGGCCUUGAGCUCUGAGCGGCUAAGCGAAAGUGAUAAGUAUCCCACCUGGGGAGUACGUUCGCAAGAAUGAAACUCAAAGGAAUUGACGGGGGCCCGCACAAGCGGUGGAGCAUGUGGUUUAAUUCGAUGAUACGCGAGGAACCUUACCAGGGCUUAAAUGUAGUCUGACAGCUUUAGAGAUAGAGUUUUCUUCGGACAGAUUACAAGGUGCUGCAUGGUUGUCGUCAGCUCGUGCCGUGAGGUGUCAGGUUAAGUCCUAUAACGAGCGCAACCCCUGUCGUUAGUUGCCAGCAUGUCCUGAUGGGGACUCUAACGAGACUGCCGGUGCAAACCGCGAGGAAGGUGGGGAUGACGUCAAAUCAUCACGGCCCUUACGUCCUGGGCCACACACGUGCUACAAUGGCCGGUACAGAGAGCAGCCACGUCGCAAGGCAGAGCGAAUCUAUAAAACCCGUCACAGUUCGGAUCGGAGUCCUGCAACUCCACUCCCUGAAGCUGG
rnacentral:rRNA from 1 species